GACGAACGCUGGCGGCGUGCCUAAUACAUGCGAGUCGAACGCUUCUUUCCUCCCGAGUGCUUGCACUCAAUUGGAAAGAGGAGUGGCGGACGGGUGAGUAACACGUGGGUAACCUACCCAUCAGAGGGGGAUAACACUUGGAAACAGGUGCUAAUACCGCAUAACAGUUUAUGCCGCAUGGCAUAAGAGUGAAAGGCGCUUUCGGGUGUCGUUGAUGGAUGGACCCGCGGUGCAUUAGCUAGUUGGUGAGGUAACGGCUCACCAAGGCCACGAUGCAUAGCCGACCUGAGAGGGUGAUCGGCCACACUGGGACUGAGACACGGCCCAGACUCCUACGGGAGGCAGCAGUAGGGAAUCUUCGGCAAUGGACGAAAGUCUGACCGAGCAACGCCGCGUGAGUGAAGAAGGUUUUCGGAUCGUAAAACUCUGUUGUUAGAGAAGAACAAGGACGUUAGUAACUGAACGUCCCCUGACGGUAUCUAACCAGAAAGCCACGGCUAACUACGUG
rnacentral:rRNA from 1 species